rnacentral:rRNA from 1 species
GAUCCUGGGCUCAGGAUUAACGCUGGCGGCGCACAUAAGACAUGCAAGUCGAACGGACUUAAUCGAUUCUUUUAGAUUCGAAGCGGUUAGUGGCGGACUGGUGAGUAACACGUAAGGAACCUGCCUAUUAGAGGGGAAUAACAACGAGAAAUCGUUGCUAAUACCGCAUAAGCUAGUAGUACCGCAUGGUACAGCUAGAAAAGGNGAAAUCCACUAAUAGAUGGCCUUGCGUCCGAUUAGCUAGUUGGUGGGG